UUAAGAAAAUAAGUGCAAGCGGUGGAUGCCUUGGCAUUCAGAGGCGAUGAAGGACGUGAUAAUCUGCGAUAAGCUUCGGUUAGCUGGUAAAUGAGCUAUGACCCGGAGAUUUCCGAAUGGGGGAACCCACCUGACACAAGUUGGGUACUCACUCGAUAUAGAGUGUAGAGCGAACGAGGGGAACUGAAACAUCUAAGUACCCUUAGGAAGAGAAAUCAAUUGAGAUUCCCGUAGUAGUGGCGAGCGAAGUGGGAAGAGCCUGGUAUGAUUUAGCUGUAAUUAUAGUAGAACAAGUUGGGAAGCUUGACGAUAGAGGGUGAUAGUCCCGUAUACGAAAUAAUCACAGUGGAACUAAGCAUACGAACAAGUAGGACGGGGCACGUGGAACCUUGUCUGAAUAUGGGGGGACCAUCCUCCAAGGCUAAAUACUCCUGAAUGACCGAUAGUGAACUAGUACCGUGAGGGAAAGGUGAAAAGAACCCUUAUAAAGGGAGUGAAAUAGAAUCUGAAACCGCUUGCAUACAAGCAGUAGGAGCAUGAUUUAGUCAUGUGACUGCGUACCUUUUGUAUAAUGGGUCAGCGAGUUAUUUUUAGUGGCGAGGAUAACUGAAUAAGGGAUCCGUAGCGAAAGCGAGUUUUAAUAGGGCGACUAGUCGCUAGGAGUAGACCCGAAACCGGCGCGAUCUAUCCAUGGCCAGGUUGAAGAUUAGGUAGUACUAAUUGGAGGACCGAACCCAAUACUGUUGCAAAAGUAUGGGAUGAGCUGUGGAUCGGAGUGAAAGGCUAAUCAAGCACGGAGAUAGCUGGUUCUCCCCGAAAACUAUUUAGGUAGUGCCUCGUGUAUAACUCAUUGGGGUAAAGCACUGUUUCGACAAUGGGGGUUUUACGACCUUACUGACUCGAUGCAAACUCAGAAUACGAUGAAGUUCGAUCACGGGAGACACACUGCGGGUGCUAAGGUCCGCAGUGGAAAGGGAAACAGCCCAGACCGCCAACUAAGGUCCCAAAGUCAUAGCUAAGUGGGAAACGAAGUGGGAAGGCCCAGACAGCCAGGAGGUUGGCUUAGAAGCAGCCACCCUUUAAAGAAAGCGUAAUAGCUCACUGGUCGAGUCGGCCUGCACGUAAGAUUUAACGGGGCUAAGCUAUGCACUGAAGUUGCGGAAUAUAUUUAGUAUAUUGGUAGGGGAGCGUUCUGUAAGCCGAUGAAGGUGAAUUGAGAAGUUUGCUGGAGGUAUCAGAAGUGCGAAUGCUGACAUGAGUAACGUAAAAUAAGUGAGAUUCUUAUUGGCCGAAAACCCAAGGGUUCCUACGCAAUGUUAAUCAACGUAGGGUAAGCCGGCCCCUAAGGCGUAGCUGAAGAGUGAAGUCGAUGGGAAACAGGUUAAUAUUCCUGUGCUGCUUAUAUGAACGAAGGAGGGACGGAGAAGGUUAGGUAGGCCUGGCGAAUGGUUGUCCAGGUGAAAGUAUGUAGGUAGGAAUGCUAGGCAAAUCCGGUGUUCUGUUGAUCUGAGAUACGAGACGAAGUUAAACUUGUUUGACGAAGCUAUUGAUACCAUGCUUCCAGGAAAAGCUUCUAAGUAUAUUGUAUAAGUGACCGUACUGUAAACCGACACUGGUGGGUAGGUAGAGAAUACUAAGGCUAUGAGAUAACUCUGGUGAAGGAACUAGGCAAAAUGACACCGUAACUUUGGAAGAAGGUGUGCCCUUGAUGGUGAUGAGACUUGCUCUUUGAGCUGUUGGGGGUUGCAGAUACCAGGUGGCUGCGACUGUUUAUCAAAAACACAGCACUCUGCGAAAUCGUAAGAUGAAGUAUAGGGUGUGACGCCUGCCCGGUGCUGGAAGGUUAAUUGAAGGGGUUAGCGCAAGCGAAGCUCUGGAUCGAAGCCCCAGUAAACGGCGGCCGUAACUAUAACGGUCCUAAGGUAGCGAAAUUCCUUGUCGGGUAAGUUCCGACCUGCACGAAUGGCGUAACGAUGGCCACACUGUCUCCACCAGAGACUCAGUGAAAUUGAAAUCGCUGUGAAGAUGCAGUG
rnacentral:rRNA from 1 species